rnacentral:rRNA from 1 species
GAUCAUGGCUCAGGAUGAACGCUAGCGACAGGCUUAACACAUGCAAGUCGAGGGGCAGCACGGUGUAGCAAUACACUGGUGGCGACCGGCGCACGGGUGAGUAACACGUGUGCAACCAACCCCGUACCGGGAGAUAACCCGCGGAAACGUGGACUAACAUCCCAUGAUACUCGAGAGCCGCAUGGCUCUCGAUUUAAAAUUCCGGUGGUACGGGACGGGCACGCGCGACAUUAGGUAGUUGGCGGGGUAACCGG